AUAAGGCCCAAGGCCCAGUCCCGUGGAAGCCGGGACCGCCCCCUUCGGGGGGCGCGGCGCUGACAGCCGGAACG
rnacentral:ribozyme from 1 species